UCCGGUUCCAUCGCCCCGAAGUCCAUGGGUUUUUUGAAUGGGUUUUUCUAAAUCGCCUGAAAUAAGCGGUUGCUAACAAAUUGCUAAAAGGGACUACUUCCUUUGGCGGGGACUUUAGACGUCAUCAUGACAAACAGGACAUUUGGACAGCAUUUCUCAUGAAAAAGUGGAUAAGUAUUCAUACACAGCGUAGAUCAUAAUCAGCAAGCAUGUUUUUAAAUAAAGUUGUUUUUUAAAUAAAGUUUGAGGAAGCUUGGUGGUGGUGACGUUGAUCUGCGACCAUGGUGUGCUGCAGUCCGUUUAUAGCCUACUGUUAGCUUUUUAUAUCUGACAACUUUAUUUAGGCUUCAAAAUGUAUAAAUGUUGUGUUAACUUGUGAAGAUUAUCUUGAUAGACAAAACAUGUAAGUGUCAUAACCCUUUGUUAAACACAGCUUAUUUUUUGCAAUUUUCCAAAAGUCUAUGGGAAAAAUGCAUUGGCUUUCGAUCGAGGGAACCCGUGUGCCGCUAACUUCCGGGUUGGCCUACAAAAACACGUCAUCUCUGAGAUUAAAACAGUGCAAAUGAAGGAGAAGAAACAGAGGGAUGAGGAGAAGCUGUUCUGCAGUCUCGCUGCACACGGACACCGGGGGAAUGCUUGAGAAACAAAAUGCUUACCGGCCUAAAAGAGAGGCUUGGUUGCGUGACAGCGCUUUAAUUGCUUCAUUACUGUAAUUAAUUUGCUCUCUUUUCAAUUAGCAGCUGGGCCUUAGUGAUGUUUUUCAGCUGUUAUUUUCUUCUGUUUUCUUUCAUUUGCUCUCUCUUUCUCUUUCUCUCUCUGGUCUCGUGGGAAAGACCUGAAGUUGCACCCCUCAAAAGUGAAAGUCCAGAGAACCUUCUAGAGCAGUGACUGUAAUGUACCGCUCAUCCUCCAACACAUCUGCCUCCCUUUCACUUUCAGUUUUAUGGAGUUUUAUUGCCAUAACCAGAAAUGAAUCUGUGCUGCACAUAAAGCUCCACAGUUUUUCACAGAAUUUCAGUGCCUACCAAAUCAUACAAUUCCACACAUCACUCACACCUUGCAUGUUUAUUUAUUGGUGAACGUGAUUUCAUCAUGCUCCUACAUCAACAUCUUUGUUGAUCCUGGAAGAAUAUUGCAAUCAUCCAAUCAGAUUUGAGGGACAAGUUUACAGUUUAUGUCAGGUUUAGGUUUACAACCAGGGUUAGGUGCUUCUACAUCAGUUAUUCAUCAUUUCUCUUGGAUUUCAGGGAUAUGUUAUGAGUUAGAACUGUUUUCAGACAGGAAUAUU